CCUACGGGAGGCUGCAGUGGGGAAUAUUGGACAAUGGGGGGAACCCUGAUCCAGCCAUGCCGCGUGUGUGAAGAAGGCCCUCGGGUUGUAAAGCACUUUCAGUGAGGAAGAACGCCUGGUGGUUAAUACCCAUCAGGAAAGACAUCACUCACAGAAGAAGCACCGGCUAACUCCGUGCCAGCAGCCGCGGUAAUACGGAGGGUGCGAGCGUUAAUCGGAAUUACUGGGCGUAAAGCGCGCGUAGGUGGCUUGAUAAGUCGGUUGUGAAAGCCCCGGGCUCAACCUGGGAACGGCAUCCGGAACUGUCAAGCUAGAGUGCAGGAGAGGAAGGUAGAAUUCCCGGUGUAGCGGUGAAAUGCGUAGAGAUCGGGAGGAAUACCAGUGGCGAAGGCGGCCUUCUGGACUGACACUGACACUGAGGUGCGAAAGCGUGGGUAGCAAACAGGAUUAGAUACCCUAGUAGUC
rnacentral:rRNA from 1 species